rnacentral:rRNA from 1 species
UAAUACGAAGGGGGCUAGCGUUGCUCGGAAUCACUGGGCGUAAAGCGCACGUAGGCGGGUUGCUAAGUCGGGGGUGAAAUCCUGGAGCUCAACUCCAGAACUGCCUUCGAUACUGGCGACCUUGAGUCCGGGAGAGGUGAGUGGAACUCCGAGUGUAGAGGUGAAAUUCGUAGAUAUUCGGAAGAACACCAG